UAGUCCACGCCGUAAACGAUGGUCACUAGUUGUUGGGGCUUUAUGCCUCAGUGAUUAAGCGAAAGUGAUAAGUGUCCCACCUGGGGAGUACGAUCGCAAGAUUGAAACUCAAAGGAAUUGACGGGGGCCCGCACAAGCGGUGGAGCAUGUGGUUUAAUUCGAUGAUACGCGAGGAACCUUACCAGGGCUUAAAUGUGAGUUGCAUGAUUUAGAGAUAGAUCUUUCUUCGGACUACUUACAAGGUGCUGCAUGGUUGUCGUCAGCUCGUGCCGUGAGGUGUCAGGUUAAGUCCUAUAACGAGCGCAACCCUUAUCGUUAGUUGCUAGCAGGUUAAGCUGAGGACUCUAACGAGACUGCCGGUGCAAACCGNGAGGAAGGUGGGGAUGACGUCAAAUCAAUCACGGCCCUUACGUCCUGGGCUACACACGUGCUACAAUGGUAUAUACAGAGAGCAGCCACUUGGUGACAAGGAGCGAAAUCUAUAAAGUAUAUCAC
rnacentral:rRNA from 1 species